rnacentral:lncRNA from 1 species
GGGUACUGAAAAAGAAAUUAUCCUCAAUACAUUGCCUUCCUGGAUCUGAACAGGUCAAGAAAGAAGCAAGUUGUUGCUGGAUAAGAUAAUUAUAUGAUAACAUCUUGUAAUUUUUUAAUUUAUGAUUCUACUACCUAGGUAUUAGAUACCGGAAGUCUUUUUAAUAUUUGCAAUUUAUUACAGGGUCUGCAGGUCAGUAGG